AUGUCCUCUCCUUUCCAAUCUCCAGCACCUCGACUCGCCGACAUGGCAGCGGAAGAAGGGGACGGGGAGGAGGACAAGGCGAUCGUCGUCGGAGCUGGAGACACGGCGGAGGAGGAGAUCGUCGCCGGGGCAGACGAGGAGGAGGAGAUGCACGGCGGCUGGGACGGCGGUGGCGGAGGAGGCGACGGUAUGUUCCGUCCCCCGCCGGGGUUCCGGUUCAUGCCGACCGAGGACGAGAUGAUAAGGUACUACCUGCUCCCCAAGCUCCAGGGCAGGGCGUACGUCCCCAACAACGCCAUCAUCGAGGACAGCGUCUACCAGUGCCACCCGGACGGGCUCACAAGCAAAUACAUGGACCGGGGCCAGGCCGGCAGAAGCUUCUACUUCCUGUCGCCGAGGGAGCGCAAGUACAAGAACGGGGUGAGGCCGCGGCGGGACACCAAGGACCGCCUCGGGCGGUGGAAGGCGUCGACGGGCAAGACGGACGAGCGGGGCGGCGGCGACGUCCGCAAGGAGGAGAGAGUGGCCGGCGACGGCACCACCAAGUACUGCAAGAGCGGCCUCGCCUACUUCUACUUCCGGGGCCGCGGGGAGAAGGAGAAGAAGUCCGGCUGGCUCAUGCAGGAGCUCACCGUCCCGGAGUACGAGAUCAAGCUCCCCGAGAAGGGCGGCCCCGGCGGACCGACGUUGGACAGGUACGUGAUGUACAAGAUUUACCCGGCGCCGGUCGGCAGAAAAAAGCGGAACAAUGACGAUGAGGCAGGCCCCAGCAACGCCGAGGCGGCGGAGAGCGACGACGAAGGGGAGACGGCGGAGCUUCCUCCAAUGCUAUCGGACAAACAGGCGGGCAAGAGGCCCGUGUCGGAGGACCAGCAGCUGCGCAACCCCGCCGCCGCGAAGAAGAAGCGGGGUCGCCGCUCAAACCGCCUGCAGAUCGAGCCACCAGCGCCGCCGCCGCCACCACCACAGCCACAAGGCGACGGCAUGCAAGCUCCGUUCGGGAUGCUGGAAUACUACGAUGGACCAGGGCAGCCCAUGGGGUAUCAAGCUGCCGCACGGACGCCGCUGCCAUUGGUGACAUACAACAACGGCCAGGGGCACGUGCCGCGGCAGCAGGUGGCGUACAACGGUCAGGUGCCGAUAAUGACGCGACAGCCGGCGGCGUACAACGGGCAGAUGCCGAUGACGCAGCAGCAGGGGACGUACAAUUGUCAGGUGUCGAUCAUGACACGACAGCCGGUGGCGUACAACGGACAGAUGAUGCCGGUGCCGCAGCAGCAGCAGCAGGUGGCGUUCAACUGCCAGAUGCGGCCGCCGCGGUCCGGUCAGAACCAGAAAAUGAUGACGCGGCCUUCGUGCCCGGCCGGCCAAGCAGUGAACCCGCCGCCGGUCGUCCCUCUCCCUCAGAAGCAGCCGGAGACGGAUGAGAUGCUCGAGAAGCGGGUGCUUGAACAAAACCUGGAGGAAUACCUCUGGAUGCAGCAGCAGCAGCAGCAGCAGCAGAUGGCGUUGAUGAUGCGCCAGCAGCAGCAAUGGACGAUGGCGUUCAUGAUGCAGCAGCAGCCGUACUUCGGCGGCUCCAACGCCGAUUGCAACCCCGACGCGGGGGGCAAGGCCCCUCAGUUCUCGCUCGACGACUUCUACGCCAGCCAAGCGGCGGAGCACUACAGGCGCAGCCGGGCGGUGCUCCCGGCGACGAGCGGCUCCCCAGGAGAGGCGGCGCCGGUGAAGGCAGACGGUUCGCCGGACAGCACGGUGGUGUCUGCGGUGGGAAGCGGGGACGGCAACAACGCCAACCAUGAUCGGGCGGAGUCUGCCGCUGUGAAGGCUUCGCCGGGUGGGAGCGCGUCCGCAGAGGACGAGAUCACCCCCAACAUGGUCGGGCUCGGUGAUCGGUGCUCAAUUUUGUGA
rnacentral:rRNA from 1 species